ensembl:lncRNA
AUGGUAUGUAUAUAUGUAAUCAAUGCCAGCUUGAAGUUACAACUAUUCAGGUUUUUUUAUGUAUUUUUUUUAAUUGCAGCGACCAAAAAGAAGACUGAGGUUGCUGGCACUGGGGGAGGGCCACCACCAGCCAGCUUCACUCCUGCAGAGGAGCUGGCUUUGGAAAUUAAUAAGGGGAGGCCCGUCCUUGAGGGAAUAGAGGGGGGGACAUCAUCUAAAAUGAUAUCACGUAGUAUAAGGAGUGAGUAUAUAAAAGAUUCUGUAUGCUUUAUGGAUCCACCAGACAUCAUGUUGCCUGGAGAAGGCCCAUCAGUUGAGGAGGAUAAGGAGACUGUGUCUGUAUGUUCAAGGAGGCCUGAGGUAGUCACAGGUUCCAUGUGAUACUGUAUUGAAUAUUAAAAAGUGUACUUGUUUGAUAAAAUGAUCAUAAUGUGUUUUCAGGAUGCUGACACUGCUCUAGAGCCCUCUCAGUCUGGGACCACAUGUGACAAAAGUGAGUAUUAAGAAAUGAAAACAAUGUGACAAGAGUAUUCAAUGAAAUAACUUAAAUCUAUGUUGCUACAGAACCCAGAAAACAUAAAAGGAGUGUAUAAACGCUACCUCCUUAAACAAAUGGAAGCGAUUGAUAUCGACAUCCAGUAUAAAAAAAACUGAAGAUGAGGAAGUUGGAGCUGGAAAUUCAACAGCUACAGAAAAAUGCAAGUAAAAAAAAAAAAAAAAAAAAAAAAAAAAAAAAAAAAAACACAUUACCUUUUUGAUGGUGUCUCGUAUAAGUCUGCCUGUUUCGUUUUCUUCCAAUACUGCUUCAUUGCCCCAGUCUUCCUCUUCAACAAUCCUUGGUUGCCUCUCUCUCCUCAGACAAGCAAUGUUAUGCAGCACUACACAAGCAACUACAAUGUCACAUGCCCUAGGUGGAGUCACUCUGAGGUGCUUCAGGCACUGAAACCUUGACUUUAUCAGCCCAAAUGCCAUCUCUAUACGACCACUUGUGCGUGCAUGGGCAAUGUUGUAGCGGUGCUGUGCCUCUGUCUGGGGCUCCUGAUAGGGAGUCAAGAGGUAAGGCAGGCAUGGGUAUCCCUUGUCUCCCAGCAAAACUCCUGAGAAUUCUCCUGCAUAGACAGAAUGAAUAUAUAUAGAUAUAUAAUGUAGUUUUUUUUCUUCUUUUUUUUUAAGACUUUUUGCGAUUUAAGUGAUUACUAGCAUACCUCUUGCUAGUUGCUGGUAGAGAGAUGAGGCUCUAAAGAUUCUGGAGUCAUGCACAGAGCCUGGCCAUUUGGCCUCUACAUUUGCGAUGAUGCAAUCUGCAUCACUAAUCCUCUAAAAUAAAUUAAACCUGUAGGUCA